rnacentral:rRNA from 1 species
UGGGGAAUUUUGGACAAUGGGCGAAAGCCUGAUCCAGCAAUGCCGCGUGUGUGAAGAAGGCCUUCGGGUUGUAAAGCACUUUUGUCCGGAAAGAAAUCCUUGGCUCUAAUACAGUCGGGGGAUGACGGUACCGGAAGAAUAAGCACCGGCUAACUACGUGCCAGCAGCCGCGGUAAUACGUAGGGUGCAAGCGUUAAUCGGAAUUACUGGGCGUAAAGCGUGCGCAGGCGGUUUGCUAAGACCGAUGUGAAAUCCCCGGGCUCAACCUGGGAACUGCAUUGGUGACUGGCAGGCUAGAGUAUGGCAGAGGGGGGUUAGAAUUCCACGUGUAGCAGUGAAAUGCGUAGAGAUGUGGAGGAAUACCGAUGGCGAAGGCAGCCCCCUGGGCCAAUACUGACGCUCAUGCACGAAAGCGUGGGGAGCAAAACAGGAUUAGAUACCCUGGUAGUCCACGCCCUAAAACGAUGUCAACUAGUUGUUGGGGAUUCAUUUCCUUAGUAACGUAGCUAACGCGUGAAGUUGACCGCCUGGGGAGUACGGUCGCAAGAUUAAAACUCAAAUGAAUUGACGGGGUCAUAGCUG